UAUUCGGAAUUAUUGGGCGUAAAGAGUGCGCAGGCGGUUUUUUAAGUCGGAUGUGAAAUCCCCGGGCUCAACCCCGGACCUGCAUUCGAAACUGCCAAGCUAGAGUGUGUCAGAGGGGGGUGGAAUUCCACGUGUAGCGGUGAAAUGCGCAGAGAUAUGGAGGAACACCAAUGGCGAAGGCAGCCCCCUGGGCCAUCACUGACGCUCAGGCACGAAAGCGUGGGGAGCAAACAGGAUUAGAUACCCCGGUAG
rnacentral:rRNA from 1 species